rnacentral:tRNA from 1 species
GCCUCUGUAGUAUAAAUCAAUACACCAGUCUUGUAAACUGGAAAUGGACACUCUUCCCUGGGGCAA